AUGGUUGAUCCUGCCAGUAGCCAUAUUCCUGUUUCAGUGACUAGGAGUGCAUGUCUAAGUACAAACCUUAAAACGAUCAAACCGCGAAUGGCUCAUUCAAGUCAACGAUGUUUCUUUAGAUCAUAUAUGCUACGUGGCCAACUGUAGUAAUUCUAGGACUAAUGCAUGCAAUUAUGUCCUGAACCGCAAGGGAACGGCUGUAUUUAUUAUAACAUAACCGCCCAAGGCAAUUUUGGCUGUCCCUGCUAAAUCAUGUGUUGACUUUGAUGAAGUCAGUUCGCUUUGUGUAAGCGAUGUAUUUUUCUAUUGUCUACCGUAUGAAUUUACUGGUAUUUUUUCUGGCUGCCAUUGAAAGAAAUGAAACCGAGAAUCAUUGUAUAAUUCUCGAAAUUGAGGCUUUAUUUUGUCAACCAUUUUAGUUUAUCGUAAGUGUUUCAAAAUCUGCCCACGAUGGGCUUGAGAAUGUUUUUAGGAAGUAUGGUAAUACGGCAGUGAUAUCAUGCCCCAUAAUUUGAAUAACUACAGUUUAACUCCUUCUUGGAGGACCGAUUUGUGUCAUAAGCCGCAUUGACUCGAUUUCGAAAGGUUGUAUAUA
rnacentral:ncRNA from 1 species